GAAGUCGUUACUUCAACCCUUGUGGAGGAGGACGCCGAAGGUGGGGCUAAUGACUGGGGUGAAGUCGUAACAAGGUAGCCGUACCGGAAGGUGCGGCUGGAUCACCUCCUAACAGGGAGACAACAAAAUGUAAAUAUUAAUUUUGUCACCUUAGGUCGAUCGGUAUCUCAGAUUCUUACUAUUUAAGAAUUUCAGUUUCUAAGUCUUUUCUAGGUCACACCCAUCACUUUUUCCUGGGCCAUUAGCUCAGGUGGUUAGAGCGCACCCCUGAUAAGGGUGAGGUCCCUGGUUCAAGUCCAGGAUGGCCCAUAUCUCUAUGUUGGGGGUAUAGCUCAGUUGGUAGAGCGCCUGCUUUGCAAGCAGGAUGUCAGCGGUUCGAGUCCGCUUACCUCCACUGAAUACCACCUCUUACAUAUUUUUAAAGAGGGAAAUUGUUAUGAGUCGUGUCCUAAUUUGCUCUGAGCGAAUCUAGCUUCCUAUUUUUAUUCAAUAAAUAAGAUGCUGGACUCAUUGAAUUUUUUUCACUGUUUUCAGAGAACCUUGACAACUGCAUAGAUUAUUUUGAAGACAAUAAGCAUCUUUAAUGGUGCAGAUUUAUUAUUUGUGCGAAUGCAUUAAAUAACAAUUCUAUUACGCUGAUGCUUCAAUUAUUGAAGUUAUUGGUCAAGCUACAAAGGGCCUCACGGAGGAUACCUACGCACACUAGAGGCUAUGAA
rnacentral:misc_RNA from 1 species